rnacentral:rRNA from 1 species
CAGGAUGAACGCUAGCGGCAGGCUUAACACAUGCAAGUCGAGGGGCAUCGGGAGUAGCAAUACUGCCGGCGACCGGCGCAAGGGUGCGUAACGCGUGAGCAACAUGCCCGUAUCAGGGGGAUAAUCCAUGGAAACGUGGUCUAAUACCCCAUAGUAAUUAUGUAAGGCAUCUUAUAUAAUUUAAAGCUUUGGUGGAUACGGAUUGGCUCGCGUGACAUUAGCUGGAUGGUAAGGUAACGGCUUACCAUGGCUACGAUGUCUAGGGGUUCUGAGAGGAAGGUCCCCCCACACUGGAACUGAGACACGGUCCAGACUCCUACGGGAGGCAGCAGUGAGGAAUAUUGGACAAUGGAUGGAAAUCUGAUCCAGCCAUGCCGCGUGCAAGGAAGACGGCCCUAUGGGUUGUAAACUGCUUUUGUAUGGGAGCAAUAAGGGCUACGUGUAGUCCGAUGAGAGUACCAUACGAAUAAGCACCGGCUAACUCCGUGCCAGCCGCCGC